ensembl:lncRNA
GGGUUAAGUGUUUGGUUUAGGGGUUAAGGGUUAGGUUUAGGGGUUAAGUGUUAAGCUUAGGGGUUAAGUGUUAGGGUUAGGGGUUUAGGGUUAGGUUUAGGGGUUAAGUGUUAGGUUUAGGGGUUAAGUGUUAGGUUUAGGGGUUAAGUGUUAAGUUUAGGGGUUAAGAGUUAGUGUUAGACAUUCAUGCCCACAAACAACAAACCUGUAAGAAUCAAGAGACCUGUUUGCCUUCGGUUUCUAUUCGACGUGUAGCCUAAACUGUACAUGUCCCGUCACUGCACUGCGUCAGAGCACGGCUUAGCCGAUCCCUGUCCCUAGUUCUAAUCCAUAAAAAUACAUGAAUAACAUUUGAUGUCAGGUCCAUUCCUAAAUAAAAUUCUUGAUCAAUUCUGCAGACAGAUU